CUUCAACGACCCCAACCACAACGGACGCCCCUCAGACCGACCCUGGCCAUAGGUGUCCAAGAGCGCUUGCGCCUC
rnacentral:antisense_RNA from 1 species